UACAGAGGCCUCAAGCGUUGUUCGGAAUUACUGGGCGUAAAGGGUUCGUAGGUGGCCACUUAAGUCAGACGUGAAAUCCCUCAGCUUAACUGGGGAACUGCGUCUGAUACUGAGUGGCUUGAGUGCAGGAGAGGAAUGCGGAAUUCCAGGUGUAGCGGUGAAAUGCGUAGAUAUCUGGAGGAACACCGGUGGCGAAGGCGGCAUUCUGGACUGUAACUGA
rnacentral:rRNA from 1 species